rnacentral:rRNA from 1 species
AUUGAACGCUGGCGGCAUGCCUUACACAUGCAAGUCGAACGGCAGCACGGACUUCGGUCUGGUGGCGAGUGGCGAACGGGUGAGUAAUACAUCGGAACGUGCCCAGUCGUGGGGGAUAACGUAGCGAAAGCUACGCUAAUACCGCAUACGAUCUAAGGAUGAAAGCGGGGGAUCGCAAGACCUCGCGCGAUUGGAGCGGCCGAUGGCAGAUUAGGUAGUUGGUAGGGUAAAGGCCUACCAAGCCGACGAUCUGUAGCUGGUCUGAGAGGAUGAUCAGCCACACUGGGACUGAGACACGGCCCAGACUCCUACGGGAGGCAGCAGUGGGGAAUUUUGGACAAUGGGCGCAAGCCUGAUCCAGCCAUUCCGCGUGCAGGAUGAAGGCCUUCGGGUUGUAAACUGCUUUUGUACAGAACGAAAAGGCUCUGGUUAAUACCCGGGGCUCAUGACGGUACUGUAAGAAUAAGCAUCGGCUAACUACGUGCCAGCAGCCGCCGUAA